rnacentral:rRNA from 1 species
AUUGAACGCUGGCGGCAUGCUUUACACAUGCAAGUCGAACGGCAGCACGGGGGCAACCCUGGUGGCGAGUGGCGAACGGGUGAGUAAUGCAUCGGAACGUGUCCUGUAAUGGGGGAUAACCUGGCGAAAGCCAGGCUAAUACCGCAUACGUCCUGAGGGAGAAAGCGGGGGCUCGCAAGACCUCGUGUUAUAGGGGCGGCCGAUGUCGGAUUAGCUGGUUGGUGGGGUAAAGGCCUACCAAGGCGACGAUCCGUAGCGGGUCUGAGAGGACGGCCCGCCACACUGGGACUGAGACACGGCCCAGACUCCUACGGGAGGCAGCAGUGGGGAAUUUUGGACAAUGGGGGCAACCCUGAUCCAGCCAUGCCGCGUGAGUGAAGAAGGCCUUCGGUUGUAAAGCUCUUUCGGUCCGGGACGAAAUACGCAUCUCCUAAUACGGGCGGUGGAUGACGGUACUGGAAGAAGAAGCACCGGCGUAACUACGUGCCAGCAGCCGCGGUAAUCA